rnacentral:rRNA from 1 species
ACCAGGAUUCCCCCAGUAACGGCGAAGUGAACGGGGAUUAGCCCAGCAUCGAAGCCUAUGCCUAUUUGGGUGUAAGGCCAUGUGAUGUUAUGGGGUGUGCCUAGGGUCACUAAUCAACUCGAAGUCCAAUAUUGAAUGUGGCUUAUAUAUUAAUCCCACAGCGGGUGAUAGGCCCGUGCGAGUUGAUUGUCCGUCAUGGUAGUGGCCUCUAGAUGCAUACUCUAUGGAGUCGGAUUGCUUGAGAAUGCAGUCCAAAGUUGGUGGUAAACUCCAUCAAAGGCUAAAUACUGGCACGAGUCCGAUAGUAAACAAGUACCGUGAGGGAAAGUUGAAAAGUACUCUGAAGAGAGAGUAAAUAGUACGUGAAACCACAUACAGGUAAACGGGUGGAGUCCAGCUGCGUGCUGUAUGGACUUAUCUGGUGUGUGCAAAUACAGAUGAUAUAACUGUCAUAUAUGGUUUGUCUAUAAUGACAAGUGUGACUUUAUGUUGCAUUCAUGUUCCAUCCUGUACGUGGUAUGAGCCAUAUAUGAUGUCUGUUUGCAUGCCAGUGUUCUUCCAUAUGGCUGACAUCACAGUCAAUAUUGCUGCUAGUGUGUGAUGCUCAAACCGUGAAGUAGCGGGCCUUGAAGUUCGCUCUUUACGUGGAUGGCAGGUGGUUCAGUUGUUUACUUUUAUUAGUGAACUUCUGAGCUUAAUAAUGGCUGCGGCCAGCCGAGUAUCAUGCAGUCAUAUUUAAUGCUUGCAUUAAACUAUGCAGUAUAUUGGUGAUGAGUCUCAUAGCCUAAUAGUGCUGUUAUCAUGUUGGCUCACGAUGAGUUAUGUGUAAAAGCGUGCUCAGUGUGUAGUUUCAAUAUGUGUAAUGGUAUUUAUGCGGUUGUGUCUCUUUUGCAGUAACUGUGUUUGCGU